rnacentral:rRNA from 1 species
UACGAAGGGGGCUAGCGUUGCUCGGAAUCACUGGGCGUAAAGCGCACGUAGGCGGCUUGUUAAGUCAGGGGUGAAAUCCUGGAGCUCAACUCCAGAACUGCCUUUGAUACUGGCGAGCUUGAGUUCGGGAGAGGUGAGUGGAACUCCGAGUGUAGAGGUGAAAUUCGUAGAUAUUCGGAAGAACACCAGUGGCGAAGGCGGCUCACUGGCCCGGUACUGACGCUGAGGUGCGAAAGCGUGGGGAGCAAACAGGG